UACCAGCACCCCGAGUGGUCGGGACGAUUAUUGGGCCUAAAGCAUCCGUAGCCGGUUCUACAAGUCUUCCGUUAAAUCCACCUGCUUAACAGAUGGGCUGCGGAGGAUACUACAAGGCUAGGAGGCGGAAGAGGCAAGCGGUACUCAGUGGGUAGGGGUAAAAUCCUCUGAUCCAGUGAAGACCACCAGUGGCGAAGGCGGCUUGCCAAUACGCGCUCGACGGUGAGGGAUGAAAGCUGGGGGAGCAAACCGG
rnacentral:rRNA from 1 species